AUUAAAACAUCAGUUCCCAUAUGAUCAAUGAAGUUAAGCAACAUCAAGCCUGGUCAAUACUUAGAUGGGUGACUGCUUGGGAAUACUAGGCACUGUAA